rnacentral:rRNA from 1 species
AUUGAACGCUGGCGGCCGGCUUAACACAUGCAAGUCGAUCGAGCGCAGGACGGGUGAGUAAUGUAUGGGGAUCUGCCUGAUAGAGGGGGAUAACUACUGGCAACCUUAGCUAAUACCGCAUACUAUCGGAUGAACCCAUAUGGGAUGAGCUAGUAGUUGGGGUAAAGGCUCACUUAGGCGACGAUCUCGAGCUGGUCUGAGAGGAUGAUUAGCUACACUGGGACGCAGCCACGGCCGAGACUGCUACGGGCGGCAGCAGUGGCGAAGAUUGCAGAGUGUACGCAAGCGUGAUGCAGACAUGCCGCGUGUAUGAAGAAGGCCUUAGGGUUGUAGAGUGCCUUCAGGGGAGAGGCGAGAACGGCAGAGGAAGCACCGGCUAAAUCCGUGCCAGCAGCCGCGGUAAUUC